UACGAAGGGGGCUAGCGUUGCUCGGAAUCACUGGGCGUAAAGCGCACGUAGGCGGACUCUUAAGUCGGUGGUGAAAUCCUGGAGCUCAACUCCAGAACUGCCUCCGAUACUGGGAGCCUUCGAGUCCGGGAGAGGUGAGUGGAACUGCGAGUGUAGAGGUGAAAUUCGUAGAUAUUCGCAAGAACACCCGUGGCUAAGGCGGCUCUCUAGUACGGUACUGACGCUGAGACGCGAAAGCGUGGGGAGCGAACAGG
rnacentral:rRNA from 1 species